UAAAACUGUAAAACAUUGAUCAUCUAUGUACAACAUACAGUCCUACAAAUCAUGCGCUUUUGUGCUAAAAUCAGACACUUAUAACCAUCCAUAUGAGCAGAAAAGUUCCAAUGAUAUUUCUGAGACUCAGACAUAAAGCAUUACUGAGACUAUUUGGAGAAGCUGCAU
rnacentral:lncRNA from 1 species